UNGCUUGAUGCCUGCCUCCAGAUGGACCG
rnacentral:piRNA from 1 species